rnacentral:rRNA from 1 species
CCUACGGGAGGCUGCAGUGAGGAAUAUUGGUCAAUGGCCGCAAGGCUGAACCAGCCAAGUCGCGUGAGGGAUGACGGUCCUAUGGAUUGUAAACCUCUUUUGUCAGGGAGCAAAGGGCGCCACGUGUGGCGCUUUGCGAGUACCUGAAGAAAAAGCAUCGGCUAACUCCGUGCCAGCAGCCGCGGUAAUACGGGGGAUGCGAGCGUUAUCCGGUUUUAUUGGGUUGAAAGGGUGCGCAGGCGGAAUGUCAAGUCAGCGGUAAAAUUUCGGGGCUCAACCCCGUCGUGCCGUUGAAAAUGGCGUUCUUGAGUGAGCGAGAGGUAUGCGGAAUGCGUGGUGUAGCGGUGAAAUGCAUAGAUAUCACGCAGAACUCCGAUUGCGAAGGCAGCAUACCGGCGCUCAACUGACGCUCAUGCACGAAAGCGUGGGUAUCGAACAGGAUUAGAUACCCUAGUAGUC